CCCAACCUCCCACCCGUGUUUUAAACAUACCCUGUUGCUUCGGCGGGCCCACUGGGCUUCGGUCCGGUCGCCGGGGGGCCUCUGUGCCCUCGGGUCCGCGCCCGCCGAUGCGCCUCACGAACCCUGAUGAAUAUGGGCUGUCUGAGUUAUAAAUGAAAAUUGUCAAAACUUUCAACAAUGGAUCUCUUGGUUCCGGCAUCGAUGAAGAACGCAGCGAAAUGCGAUAAGUAAUGUGAAUUGCAGAAUUCCGUGAAUCAUCGAAUCUUUGAACGCACAUUGCGCCCCCUGGCAUUCCGGGGGGCAUGCCUGUCCGAGCGUCAUUUCUGCCCUCAAGCACGGCUUGUGUGUUGGGUGUGGUCCCCUCCCUGGCGGGGGGACCUGCCCGAAAGGCAGCGGCGACGUCGCGUCCGGUCCUCGAGCGUAUGGGGCUUUGUCACUCGCUCGGGAAGGACCUGCGCACGUCUGUCACAACUGUAUUUUUUACCACGGUUGACCUCGGAUCAGGUAGGAGUUACCCGCUGAACUUAAGCAUAUCAAUAAGCGGAGGAAAAGAAACCAACAGGGAUUGCCUCAGUAACGGCGAGUGAAGCGGCAAGAGCUCAAAUUUGAAAUCUGGCCUCUUUGGGGUCCGAGUUGUAAUUUGCAGAGGAUGCUUCGGGAGUGGUCCCCAUCUAAGUGCCCUGGAACGGGACGUCAUAGAGGGUGAGAAUCCCGUAUGGGAUGGGUGGCCGCGCCCGUGUGAAGCGCCUUCGACGAGUCGAGUUGUUUGGGAAUGCAGCUCUAAGCGGGUGGUAAAUUUCAUCUAAAGCUAAAUACUGGCCGGAGACCGAUAGCGCACAAGUAGAGUGAUCGAAAGAUGAAAAGCACUUUGAAAAGAGAGUUAAAUAGCACGUGAAAUUGUUGAAAGGGAAGCGUUGUCCACCAGACUCGCCCGGGAGGGUUCAGCUGGCACUUGUGCCGGUGUACUCCCUUUCGGGCGGGCCAGCAUCGGUUUGGGCGGCCGCUAAAAGGCCUCGGGAAUGUAGCACC
rnacentral:rRNA from 1 species